GACGAACGCUGGCGGCGUGCUUAACACAUGCAAGUCGAACGGUGACGGAGGAGCUUGCUCCUCCUGAUCAGUGGCGAACGGGUGAGUAACACGUGAGCAAUCUGCCCCUGACUCUGGGAUAACUGCGGGAAACUGUAGCUAAUACCGGAUACGACGCGCGAAGGCAUCUUCUGCGCGCGGAAAGAAUUUCGAUCAGGGAUGAGCUCGCGGCCUAUCAGCUUGUUGGUGAGGUAAUGGCUCACCAAGGCGACGACGGGUAGCCGGCCUGAGAGGGUGACCGGCCACACUGGGACUGAGACACGGCCCAGACUCCUACGGGAGGCAGCAGUGGGGAAUAUUGCACAAUGGGCGCAAGCCUGAUGCAGCAACGCCGCGUGAGGGACGACGGCCUUCGGGUUGUAAACCUCUUUUGGCAGGGAAGAAGCGAAAGUGACGGUACCUGCAGAAAAAGCACCGGCUAACUACGUG
rnacentral:rRNA from 1 species